CCUACGGGAGGCUGCAGUGGGGAAUAUUGCACAAUGGGGGAAACCCUGAUGCAGCGACGCCGCGUGAGUGAAGAAGUAAUUCGUUAUGUAAAGCUCUAUCAGCAGGGAAGAAAAUGACGGUACCUGAGUCAGAAGCCCCGGCUAACUACGUGCCAGCAGCCGCGGUAAUACGGAGGGGGCCAGCGUGAUCCGGAUUUACUGGGUGUAACGGGAGCGUAGACGGCAGUGCAAGUCAGGAGUGAAAGGCGGGGGCUCAACCCCCGGACUGCACUGGAAACUGGACGGCUGGAGUGCAGGAGAGGUAAGUGGAAUUCGUGGUGUAGCGGUGAAAUGCGUAGAUAUUAGGAGGAACACCAGUGGCGAAGGCGGCUUACUGGACUGUAACUGACGUUGAGGCUCGAAAGCGUGGGGAGCAAACAGGAUUAGAUACCCGUGUAGUC
rnacentral:rRNA from 1 species